AAUCAACGCUGGCGGCGUGCCUAACACAUGCAAGUCGAACGCGAAAGUGGGGGCAACUCCAUGAGUAGAGUGGCAGACGGGUGAGUAACACGUGGGUAACCUACCCUGAAGUGAGGAAUAACCCCGCGAAAGCGGGGCUAAUACCGCAUAAUUUCCCUGGGGCUCAAGUUCCGGGGAUCAAUUCUCGCAAGGGCGCUUCAGGAGGGGCCCGCGCCUGAUUAGCUAGUUGGUAGGGUAACGGCCUACCAAGGCUCCGAUCAGUAGCCGGCCUGAGAGGGUGAACGGCCACACUGGAACUGAGACACGGUCCAGACACCUACGGGUGGCAG
rnacentral:rRNA from 1 species